rnacentral:tRNA from 1 species
UCCCUGGUGGCUCAGCUGGUAAAGAAUCCACCUGCAAUAUGGGAGACCUGGGUUCAAUCCCUGGCUUGGGAA